AUUGAACGCUGGCGGCAGGCUUAACACAUGCAAGUCGAGCGGUAACAGAGAGAAGCUUGCUUCUCUGCUGACGAGCGGCGGACGGGUGAGUAAUGCCUAGGAAUCUGCCUAGUAGUGGGGGAUAACUUGCCGAAAGGUAAGCUAAUACCGCAUACGUCCUACGGGAGAAAGGAGGGGACCUUCGGGCCUUUCGCUAUUAGAUGAGCCUAGGUCGGAUUAGUUAGUUGGUGAGGUAAUGGCUCACCAAGACCGCGAUCCGUAACUGGUCUGAGAAGAAGAGCAGGCCCACUGGAACUGGGACACGGCUCAGACCCCUACGGGAGGCAGCAGUGGGGAAUAUUGGACAAUGGGGGGAACCCUGAUUCAGCCAUGCCGCGUGUGUGAAGAAGGUCUUAGGAUUGUAAAGCACUUUAAGUUGGGAGGAAGAGCAGUUAACUAAUAUUUGACUGUUUUGACGUUACCGACAGAAUAAGCACCGGCUAACUUCGUGCCAGCCGCCGCCGUAA
rnacentral:rRNA from 1 species